GACGAACGCUGGCGGCGUGCUUAACACAUGCAAGUCGAACGAAGUGGCGAACGGGUGAGUAACGCGUAAUCAACCUGCCCUUGAGAGGGGGACAACAGUUGGAAACGACUGUAAAUACCGCAUACUGAAGGAGGGGAUUGCGUAUGAUUAGCUAGUUGGAGGGGUAACGGCCCACAAAGGCGAUGAUCAGUAGCCGGUACGAGAGGAUGAACGGCCAGAUUGGGAAUGAGACACGGCUCAAGCUCCUACGGGAUGAAGCAGUGGGGAAUCUUCCGCAAUGAACGAAAGUCUGACGGUGCAACGCCGCGUGAGUGAUGAAGGCCUUCGGGUUGGAAAGCUCUGUUAAUCGGGACGCGGUACCGGAAUAGAAAGCCACGGCUAACUACGUGCCAGCAGCCGCGGUAAUAC
rnacentral:rRNA from 1 species